CCACUCAUUCACCACUCACUUCUUUCAUUCACUCAUCUAUUUUUUCUCUCUCCUUUUACCUUUCCAUUUUCUUUUCUUUCCUUUUUCGAUUUUCCCUCUUGAUAAACAGCUAGCAAGCCUCUUGGAGUAGAAGCAAUUGAGCAUCUUGGAGGCCUUUGACCGGUAGAACAAAGUAGAGAGAAAGAGACGAACGCUAGUCUGGCUUCGAAAAAACAUCAAAUUUGUCUUCUAGUUUCCCCGUCUACCUUUUAGUUUGUUUCGUGAUCAUAAACAUGAAUGAUUAUUAUUUUGAUGCUUCUAAUUUAAUUAAUAUGACUUAAAUUAUAUUUGUGUUAGAUUGAUUGUAUUUUAUCCACUUAAAUUGUUAAAAUUAUAUUUGUGUUAUUAUAGGCUUUGGUAGUUUGUCCAAUUAGAUAAAAUCAUGCCUAUGUUAUACUUGCAUUAUAAUUGUAAGGUAACAAUUGAAUUAAUUAUUAAUCAAAUUGAAAUUGUAAUUAAUUGAUAAAAUAUCUAAUUGAUACAUGUUUAAUCUUCUUACGUGUAAAAUGGGUUAAAUUAGCAAUAGUAUUAAACAAUAUUCUUACCUUGCAUAACUUGUAAGAUUGUUGUGAUUAAUUUUUUUAAUACGAGAAUGUAUUGUUACUUCACUUUGUCUUAUACAUGCUUAUGAAAUUGAUUAAUUAGUUUAACAUAGAAAUAUGUUUGAAAUAUUGAUUAAUUGAGUAUGUAUGUGCAUUAGUUAACAAAAGACCAAGUUGCCAUGAAAUUAUUCGUAAUAGCAUGAACAUAGUUUUAAUAAUUGAAGUUAAAUGAAUGAGAUUAAUCUAACACACUUAUGUCAUAUUGAUUAAAACGUACUAGAAAUUGUACUUGGAAUUAUAGUUUAAUUUUAAUUGUUUACUUAGAUUUAAUUUAUAUCUCACCUUUUCCAAAAAUAUCUUUUCCUCUACCAAAUUGCUUAAAUUUACAUUUCAUAAAUACUUGCUUGUAUAGUCCUUGUGGAUACAAUAACUCGACAUACUUGUCACUUGAUUGCUUGUUACGAUUGUAUACACUUGCACAUUUCUGUCGUUCCAAGUUUUUGGCAUCAUUGCCAAGGACUGUUUCAAAAGGCAUUAUUUGUGAAAUUGUUAAUUUUUUAUUUUGGUUUCUUUAUCUAUUAAAUUUUAAUUCCAUUAUUUUCCGUGAUUGUUUCAGGUGUUUAUGAGUAUUGAUCAAACCAUUGAUUUACUCCCUGUAGAUCCUAAAAUUGAUAGGACUUUUAGACAAAGGUGAAGACUAGCAACUCAAAGAAGGGCCGGAGAGAUGAACCUUGAAAACCAAAAUCAAGGAAAUUGAGAAAUUUAUGCUCAAAAUCCUAUCCUUUUUGCUAAUGAUAGGGAUUGGGCCUUAAGAUAGUAUGUUGUAUAGCUUUUUCAUGAGCUUAAUAUAAGAAUUAGUAAGCCCGAGAUAAGGGCACAAUAAUUUGAGUUGAAGCUUGUUAUGUUUCAAAUGCUUCAGACAGUGGUGGAAUGCCUGCUGAAGAUCCUCACCUUCACCUCAGAUUGUUUAUGGAGGAGAGCACUUGGAAAUAAAAGGAGCGAAAAACGAGCCAAAAUCAAAUAAAUAGAGUUGUUUCUAGGAACCACACGAACUGGGAAUUCCCACACGGGCUGGCCACACGCCUGUGUGAACCGUACGAGCUAGCUACACACCCAUGUACCAGCCCGUGUCGAUAACGCAACCUGCCUCCCUUCUGCGCGGAAAAACCCAAUUUUUAGGUUUUCUAAGGAUUCUAAAGUCUAUAAAUAACAAUUAGAAGAUGACUUAAGGAGACAGAUAGAGAAGAUUAAAGAAAAGACUCGAAGAAUGCCAUCAGAAUCAUCUCGGAAGCGGAUCUCCUUCAAGAUUGAAGAUUUCCAUUUAAUUUUUUAGAAGCUUAUUUGGGUUUCUUUAUGUUUUGUUGUUAUCUUAACUUUGAGAUGUUUCUGUUUAGGAUUAUGAACUAAAUUCCCUAGAUACCUAGGGAAGAUGAAACGUAUGAUGAAUUGUAUUAUUUGAUUUCUGAUUUACAUGAUAAAUACUUGAUUCUUGUUCUCAA